GAUGCUUUCUGGAUAUGAGCAAGGUUUUCUUGGUUUGAUAAACCAUAUAAACUUGGUCAGAUUCAGUCUAGGCUGGGGUGGUGGUCAUGAUAUUCAACAACUAGAUUUCCACUGGAUCAUAUUUCUGCCUCCAUUUGUUGGUAGUAACAAAGAUCCGUUUUUGUUUUUUUUUUUUUUUUUCUAGAAACAAUUCCAGCUCAUUCUGCUGUGAAGAAGCACUGGAGAUGUAAACAUGAAGAGCAAGAAAUAUAACAGACUUUGGAUGGCAUAUGGUUGUUUGGACCAUUUUUGAAGGGCAAUACUUUCAAGAUAAUAGAGACAACUCCUAAGCCAUGUUGUUCUCGACCUGGGGACUGUCUCAUAUGUUGCUGAAGGAGUGGCAGCACGUGAGGUCCAGCUUUGCACGGCCCAACUUGUAAGAAGUAAAGCUGAUUCCGAAAGAGGUUGUUCAGCUCUCGAGUCCAGAUCAGUCUUCCUCUACAGCCGUUCUCUUCCUGUCACCCCUCUGUCUCGCAAAGCAUGCUCCUUCAAGCUGCUGAGCAUACUGCUUAGCAGAUCGGAUGCACCAAUGCACAGCCAGGCUCCAUUCAGAGCCUCAUUUGUCUUCUUUGCCACUUCCCCUGCCACCACUUCAGAGAGUCCAGAGGAACUCAGAGCUCGUGAGCAGUGGAACUCAAGAUAUUGUGAAUGAGGAAAAUGUAAAUUGCAGAAAGCUUCAUGCACCAUAGAUUCAGAUGCUACAUGAAGGAGAUCAGAAUGCCAGAAACAAUUUGUGUGUUUUGGCUGGCUGUAAAGAAAACUCAGGAUUUGGCAAAAUUUUGUAAUUUCCUUAAUGUUUAAAAAUAUACUCUAAACUUAAAUAGAAUUGUUAGAAUUGUUAUUGGAAUAUACCACAUUAUAAAUUUUAGCAUUCUUUUUUUGGGGGUCUUUUUCCUUUUUAUCGGCACUGGGGAUCGAACUCACGACUGCCUGCUUGCCAGGCAGGCGCUUUAGUAUUCUCAUUUGCAAAACUGUAAUAUUU